GAUCCUGGCUCAGGAUGAACGCUAGCGACAGGCUUAACACAUGCAAGUCGAGGGGCAGCACGGUGUAGCAAUACACUGGUGGCGACCGGCGCACGGGUGAGUAACACGUGUGCAACCAACCCCGUACCGGGAGAUAACCCGCGGAAACGUGGACUAACAUCCCAUGACACUCUAGAGCCGCAUGGCUCUAGAUUUAAAAUUCCGGUGGUACGGGACGGGCACGCGCGACAUUAGGUAGUUGGCGGGGGUAAGGG
rnacentral:rRNA from 1 species